AAUCCUCAGGAAGUUCCAGGAAGCCAAUCACAAGGUUCUGUUUGCCGCCGAUGGUCUGAUCUGGCCUGAUAAACGCCUACAGGAGAAAUACCCCUGUCCGCAGCGGCAAGCGCUUUCUCAACUCAGGAGGCAUCAUCGGUUACGCCCCGUAUGUGAACAAGAUUGUCGAGCAGUGGAACCUUCACGACAACGAUGACGAUCAGCUAUUCUACACCAAAAUAUACCUGGACUCUUUUCAGAGGGAGAAUUUGAACAUUGGUUUGGACCACAAGUCUCAGAUUUUCCAGAAUUUAAAUGGAGCAAUUGACGAGGUUCUCUUGAAGUUUGGAACGAAGAGUGCCCGAGUGAGAAACACUGUUUACGACACCCUGCCAGUGGUCAUCCAUGGCAACGCAAACACC